rnacentral:rRNA from 1 species
CUUCAAAAAUUUCUCCUUAUGCGUUCCUUCUCCUUUGUGAUUUGUUGUUGUAACUCUUUAUCAAUUGUUUCAUGCUUCCUCAGUCUAACUCUUAGUUCAUUCUAAGAGUUCAUGUAGGUAAUAUGGUCGACACUAGCUUCAUGCUCUUUCAGUCUCUCAUUAAUAUGCCUCCAAUCACAACCAUCAUUCCCCAUUGCACUCGUGCAUUUAUCAGAAUUGAAAAGCUUACAGGAAAAACAAAACACUUUUUUGCGUGUUUUAAAAAAACUAACCAUUUCCUAUCACGCACCUCUCCAUUGCUCAUCUUUGUUGAGUAAUGACUAUAUGAAAAAUGUCUUGAAUUUUCACCCAAAGGAUAUUCAGUAUUUUCUUCUUGCCCUUUAG